rnacentral:rRNA from 1 species
UUGAACGCUGGCGGCAUGCCUUACACAUGCAAGUCGAACGGCAGCACGGGAGCAAUCCUGGUGGCGAGUGGCGAACGGGUGAGUAAUAUAUCGGAACGUGCCCGGUCGUGGGGGAUAACGUAGCGAAAGCUACGCUAAUACCGCAUACGAUCUACGGAUGAAANCGGGGGAUCGCAAGACCUCGCGCGAUUGGAGCGGCCGAUAUCAGAUUAGGUAGUUGGUGAGGUAAAGGCUCACCAAGCCGACGAUCUGUAGCUGGUCUGAGAGGACGACCAGCCACACUGGGACUGAGACACGGCCCAGACUCCUACGGGAGGUAGCAGUGGGGAAUUUUGGACAAUGGGCGCAAGCCUGAUCCAGCAAUGCCGCGUGCAGGAUGAAGGCCUUCGGGUUGUAAACUGCUUUGUACGGAACGAAACGGUGAGCUCUAAUACAGUUUGCUAAUGACGGUACCGUAAGAAUAAGCACCGGCUAACUACGUG